rnacentral:rRNA from 1 species
UACGGAGGGGCUAGCGUUGUUCGGAAUUACUGGCGUAAAGCGCACGUAGGCGGAUUGGAAAGUCAGAGGUGAAAUCCCAGGCUCAACCUUGGAACUGCCUUUGAAACUCCCAGUCUUGAGUUCGAGAGAGGUGAGUGAAUUCCGAGUGUAGAGGUGAAAUUCGUAGAUAUUCGGAAGGAACACCAGUGGCGAAGGCGAACUGACUGGACAAGUAUUGACGCUGAGGUGCGAAAGCGUGGGGAGCAA